GAUCAAUCCAGCUCACCUGCACAGCUCCAGUCACAGGUCUGCCCAUCGAAGAGACCAUAGGAAUCCGCGCCUUCAUGAAACAAAGCUCUGAAGAAAGUCUGUGGUGAUCAAAGUGUUACACACUGCUCAUCCUUUCAAAACUUUUAUUAAAACAGAAUUAAGUAAGACUCUCAUUAACGACAAGACUUCUUGAGCUGCAAGGGUUUGCAAGACUUACUCCAAAGGACGUUGCCAAAGGCCGAGCUCCAAUGGCAGUGCCAGGAAAUUUGGCAGUCAUCUGAUUAAAUAAAGGAUAGUUUUUGAUUAGUAUUUGUUAAUAAAUAAGACAUCUUUCCUCCCCA